rnacentral:rRNA from 1 species
AUACGUAGGGAGCGAGCGUUGUCCGGAAUUACUGGGUGUAAAGGGAGCGUAGGCGGGAGUGCAAGUCAGAUGUGAAAUACAUGGGCUCAACCCAUGGGCUGCAUUUGAAACUGCAUUUCUUGAGUGAAGUAGAGGUAAGCGGAAUUCCUGGUGUAGCGGUGAAAUGCGUAGAUAUCAGGAGGAACACCGGUGGCGAAGGCGGCUUACUGGGCUUUUACUGACUCUGAGGCUCGAAAGCGGGGGGAGCAAACAGGAUUAGAUACCCUGGUAGUCCACGCUGUAAACGAUGAUUACUAGAUGUGGGGGGACUGACCCCUUCCGUGCCGCAGUUAACACAAUAAGUAAUCCACCUGGGGAGUACGGCCGCAAGGUUGAAACUCAAAUGAAUUGACGGGG